rnacentral:rRNA from 1 species
UACAGAGGUCUCAAGCGUUGUUCGGAUUCACUGGGUUUAAAGGGUGCGUCGGUGGGCAAGUAAGUCAGUGGUGAAAUCUCCGGGCUUAACCCGGAAACUGCCAUUGAUACUAUUUGUCUUGAAUACUGUGGAGGUCAGCGGAAUAUGUCAUGUAGCGGUGAAAUGCUUAGAUAUGACAUAGAACACCAAUUGCGAAGGCAGCUGGCUACACAAAUAUUGACACUGAGGCACGAAAGCGUGGGGAUCAAACAGG